AGUGAACGCUGGCGGUAGGCCUAACACAUGCAAGUCGAACGGCAGCACAGUAAGAGCUUGCUCUUACGGGUGGCGAGUGGCGGACGGGUCAGGAAUACAUCGGAGUCUACUUUUUCGUGGGGGCUAACGUAGGGAAACUUACGCUAAUACCGCAUACGACCUACGUGUGAAAGCAGGGGAUCUUCGGACCUUGCGCGAUUGAAUGAGCCGAUGUCGGAUUAGCUAGUUAGCGGGGUAAAGGCCCACCAAGGCGACGAUCCGUAGCUGGUCUGAGAGGAUGAUCAGCCACACUGGAACUGAGACACGGUCCAGACUCCUACGGGAGGCAGCAGUGGGGAAUAUUGGACAAUGGGCGCAAGCCUGAUCCAGCCAUACCGCGUGGGUGAAGAAGGCCUUCGGGUUGUAAAGCCCUUUUGUUGGGAAGGAAGAGCAGCAGGUUAAUACCCCGCUGUUCUGACGGUACCCAAAGAAUAAGCACCGGCUAACUUCGUG
rnacentral:rRNA from 1 species